UACGUAGGGUCCAAGCGUUGUCCGGAAUUACUGGGCGUAAAGGGCUCGUAGGCGGCCAACUAAGUCGGAUGUGAAAUCCCCAAGCUUAACUUGGGAACUGCAUCCGAUACUGGAUGGCUUGAAUCCGGGAGAGGGAUGCAGAAUUCCAGGUGUAGCGGUGAAAUGCGUAGAUAUCUGGAGGAAUACCGGUGGCGAAGGCGGCAUCCUGGACCGGCAUUGACGCUGAGGAGCGAAAGCUAGGGGAGCAAACGGG
rnacentral:rRNA from 1 species